rnacentral:rRNA from 1 species
GACGAACGCUGGCGGCGUGCUUAACACAUGCAAGUCGAACGGAAAGGCCCUGCUUUUGUGGGGUGCUCGAGUGGCGAACGGGUGAGUAACACGUGAGUAACCUGCCCUUGACUUUGGGAUAACUUCAGGAAACUGGGGCUAAUACCGGAUAGGAGCUCCUGCUGCAUGGUGGGGGUUGGAAAGUUUCGGCGGUUGGGGAUGGACUCGCGGCUUAUCAGCUUGUUGGUGGGGUAGUGGCUUACCAAGGCUUUGACGGGUAGCCGGCCUGAGAGGGUGACCGGCCACAUUGGGACUGAGAUACGGCCCAGACUCCUACGGGAGGCAGCAGUGGGGAAUAUUGCACAAUGGGCGGAAGCCUGAUGCAGCAACGCCGCGUGCGGGAUGACGGCCUUCGGGUUGUAAACCGCUUUCGCCUGUGACGAAGCGUGAGUGACGGUAAUGGGUAAAGAAGCACCGGCUAACUACGUGCCAGCAGCCGCGGUGAUGCGUAGGGUGCGAGCGUUGUCCGGAUUUAUUGGGCGUAAAGGGCUCGUAGGUGGUUGAUCGCGUCGGAAGUGUAAUCUUGGGGCUUAACCCUGAGCGUGCUUUCGAUACGGGUUGACUUGAGGAAGGUAGGGGAGAAUGGAAUUCCUGGUGGAGCGGUGGAAUGCGCAGAUAUCAGGAGGAACACCAGUGGCGAAGGCGGUUCUCUGGGCCUUUCCUGACGCUGAGGAGCGAAAGCGUGGGGAGCGAACAGGCUUAGAUACCCUGGUAGUCCACGCUGUAAACGGUGGGUACUAGGUGUGGGGUCCAUUCCACGGGUUCCGUGCCGUAGCUAACGCUUUAAGUACCCCGCCUGGGGAGUACGGCCGCAAGGCUAAAACUCAAAGGAAUUGACGGGGCCCCGCACAAGCGGCGGAGCAUGCGGAUUAAUUCGAUGCAACGCGUAGAACCUUACCUGGGUUUGACAUGGAUCGGGAGUGCUCAGAGAUGGGUGUGCCUCUUUUGGGGUCGGUUCACAGGUGGUGCAUGCCUGUCGUCAGCUCGUGUCGUGAGAUGUUGGGUUAAGUCCCGCAACGAGCGCAACCCUUGUUCACUGUUGCCAGCACGUUAUGGUGGGGACUCAGUGGAGACCGCCGGGGUCAACUCGGAGGAAGGUGGGGAUGACGUCAAGUCAUCAUGCCCCUUAUGUCCAGGGCUUCACGCAUGCUACAAUGGCUGGUACAGAGAGUGGCGAGCCUGUGAGGGUGAGCGAAUCUCGGAAAGCCGGUCUCAGUUCGGAUUGGGGUCUGCAACUCGACCUCAUGAAGUCGGAGUCGCUAGUAAUCGCAGAUCAGCAACGCUGCGGUGAAUACGUUCCCGGG